UGGCGGCAGUAGCGCGGUGGUCCCACCUGACCCCAUGCCGAACUCAGAGAGUGAAACGCCGUAGCGCCGAUGGUAGUGUGGGGUCUCCCCAUGCGAGAGUAGGGAACUGCCA
rnacentral:rRNA from 1 species